AUUGAACGCUGGCGGCAGGCUUCACACAUGCAAGUCGAGCGAGCGGCGGACGGGUGAGUAAUGUCUGGGAAACUGCCUGAUGGCGGGGGAUAACUACUGGAAACGGUAGCUAAUACCGCAUACCAUCAGAUGUGCCCAGAUGGGAUUAGCUAGUAGGUGGGGUAAUGGCUCACCUGGGCGACGAUCCCUAGCUGGUCUGAGAGGAUGACCAGCCACACUGGGACUGAGACACGGUCCAGAAUCCUACGGGAGGCAGCAGUGGGGAAUAUUGCACAAUGGGCGCAAGCCUGAUGCAGCCAUGCCGCGUGUGUGAAGAAGGCCUUAGGGUUGUAAAGCACUUUCAGCGAGGAGGCGUUACUCACAGAAGAAGCACCGGCUAACUCCGUGCCAGCAGCCGCGGUAAUAC
rnacentral:rRNA from 1 species